rnacentral:rRNA from 1 species
GAUGAACGCUGGCGGCGUGCCUAAUACAUGCAAGUCGAGCGAACAGACGAGGAGCUCGCUCCUCUGACGUUAGCGGCGGACGGGUGAGUAACACGUGGAUAACCUACCUAUAAGACUGGGAUAACUUCGGGAAACCGGAGCUAAUACCGGAUAAUAUAUUGAACCGCAUGGUUCAAUAGUGAAAGACGGUUUUGCUGUCACUUAUAGAUGGAUCCGCGCCGCAUUAGCUAGUUGGUAAGGUAACGGCUUACCAAGGCAACGAUGCGUAGCCGACCUGAGAGGGUGAUCGGCCACACUGGAACUGAGACACGGUCCAGACUCCUACGGGAGGCAGCAGUAGGGAAUCUUCCGCAAUGGGCGAAAGCCUGACGGAGCAACGCCGCGUGGGUGGUGAAGGUCUUCGGAUCGUAAAACUCUGUUAUUAGGGAAGAACAAAUGUGUAAGUAACUAUGCACGUCUUGACGGUACCUAAUCAGAAAGCUACGGCUAACUACGUG